CUUGUGUUCUGUGGGUAAUUUUGAUGUAUAGCUUCCGUUCUUAGCGUAUUUGAAUGUGUAGUCGAGUUGAGCGUGUGACUUUGAUAUGAAGGAACAUUGCGCGUAGGGAUGUCAAACAAUUUGUCGCGUUUGGUCACACUGGUGACUGAAGUCUUAGCUCUCUUUUCACGGCGACCGUUUGAGUGCUUUAUUAUCCCUUUAAAUUUUGUCUUGUUGACCGUGUUUUCACCUUGGCUAAAUAAGCGUUUUUGAUUCAAUUUCAACAGAAACAUAUCCACGGGGUUUGAAAAUUCAUUUAACACUGGUUUAUCAUUGGAAAAAUGUAAAUUUGGAUGAAAAUUCUUAGCAUUGUUUGGAAACGUUGUGUGUGUUUUUUCUGUAAAAUAAUUUGCGAUGUCUGUGGUGUUUUUCUGUAAAUCUUUAUUUUCUUUAGCUUUUAAAUAUAAAGGUUUCGUAAUAUGUGACGUAUCGUUAUUAACCACUUCAUAUAACUUCUUAUGAUAAGGAAGAGAAAUCUGAACGUUAUUAUAAAUAUGGUCAGCAGGGACAUGCGGAAAAAAUUUUGGUAAAAAUGAAGCAUCUUGAUGGAAAGGUGUACCAUAUCGAUGUGUGAAAGCUUGGACUCUAGUGACAUUUGUUUUAAAACUAACAAGAAAAAAUGAGAUAGCAUAAAAUAAAUGUAUCAUAAUACCAAAUUUUCAUGAUAUAUGUUUGUUAAACUACCUUUGUUAAUAAUUAUUCUAUCUCAUUUUUGAACUCCCGUCCAAAAUAAAAGCAUAAAUGAUUUUUCAAUUUAGCGUAAUUUUUACAAUGAUUUUUCUUGUUGAAGUUUUACUAUGUUUAUUUAAUUUUAUGUAAAUAAACUUGAAGAAGGCGUUAUUUCAAUGCAAAUAAAGUUAACCUGUGAUUAAAAAUUUAAUCUGAACAGCAAGAUGAAGCUGCUGGUGUAACUUAGUCUAUGUUACAAGACGAACAGUGAAUAGAGACAAAAGCUUUUGUUGUUGAUGAAGUGAUUUAUCAAUAGGAUUCAAUCUCAGUACAUUGCUAUACUUAUUCCAGGUAAUGAUUAGACUCCAUUUGCAAGAGAGGUUUGGU